rnacentral:rRNA from 1 species
GACGAACGCUGGCGGCGUGCUUAACACAUGCAAGUCGAACGGAAAGGCCCUGCUUGCAGGGUACUCGAGUGGCGAACGGGAGAGUAACACGUGGGUGAUCUGCCCUGCACUUCGGGAUAAGCCUGGGAAACUGGGUCUAAUACCGGAUAGGAGCCAUUUUUAGUGUGAUGGUUGGAAAGUUUUUUCGGUGUAGGAUGAGCUCGCGGCCUAUCAGCUUGUUGGUGGGGUAAUGGCCUACCAAGGCGGCGACGGGUAGCCGGCCUGUGAGGGUGGACGGCCACAUUGGGUCUGAGAUACGGCCCAGACUCCUACGGGAGGCAGCAGUGGGGAAUAUUGCACAAUGGGCGCCAGCCUGAUGCAGCGACGCCGCGUGGGGGAUGACGGCCUUCGGGUUGUAAACUCCUUUCGCUAGGGACGAAGCUUUUUGUGACGGUACCUAGAUAAGAAGCACCGGCUAACUACGUG